rnacentral:lncRNA from 1 species
UCAGAGUGAGUCUUUCUUUUACACGUCAGCUGCUUUUAGUGAAGUAGUGUAUCAUCACUUUCUUAGCUAUUGUUGUGUACCAUCCCGACGCUAGCUGAACCUUUCCCAUUGAUCUUAUGCUUCUCUUUUCUUUUAGCUGAACCUUUCCCAUUGAUGUUUCUCUUUUCGAUUAACUGAACCUUACAAUAUCAGUGUAUUCUAUCGGGGGCUCUCAAUAUGAUCUCGGCACACUUAUACCGAGUUGGAAUCUAGAGAACAUCCGGAUGAUGAAGACGAAGUCCUAACCUAAGCCGGAAUGGAAAGAGAGAAUUGCACUGGACAUUCCACGCCUGACUCACUAGCCUCGUUCUUACUACCCUCCCUAUUAGUCUGCUCUUACUUGUUUAGAUUCUAACUAUCCUUACCUCAGAUCUGUAGUCCACUUCUGAUUCUUUGACUCUCGCUUGGCAUUCUUCGACUCCAUAUCCCAAUUCCUUAUUGAAGCCUAUUAGCCUGCCCUUCUUGACUUUCAUUCUGUAUUGGUAGCUUAAGUAUGCUUCUGGAUACAAGGCCACUACUGAACUCAAUGCCUACCGCACCCUAUAUCGAAUAUUGCUUCCCUUGCUUUGAAACUUCAACUAGUGCUAACAAUACUCGAACAAUCAACUAGGGCUUUCAUUACAACUAAUAGGAGCUGAGUUAGCUACUGAAAACAAGGGUCGAUGUAAUUGAGCUACCAGAAAGAAUCAAAACAUAUGACCAAUCAGAAUGUAACACUUCUGGACUAAAGAAGAAACAAGGGCGUAGAAGAAUGGAACUGCCACUUCUAAUACUCUAACUCAAAACAGGUAACUCCACUGGUACCAAUUAGACUGGAACUUACUACUAUCGGAAUGGGAACUACAUCUGAAUUCACUCCCUGGGGAGUCAAUCUUACUCACCGGAAUACAGCACAAGCCUUACUUCAUAGCUUCCAAGCCUUACUUUGAACCUGAAAACUGUUACUCCCCGGUUAAAGUCUGUCCCCUAUUCCCAAGAAAUAUGAAUUGAACCUAUAGGGCUUAUCGACUCCUGACUUAGGGAAUUGAACUAUCAAAUAGGAAUAAGGAGCCAGGCAACUUCGGACAGCUAUCGGAAGAAACCUAAAACGGAUUAGAAGAAAAUCACUGUUAACAGGGCCAUAGCUAAAAAGUGGUAAUCCAGCUCACAAAAGUAAGAAUAUGCUGACUGCCAACAAUACUGGAACUUAUAACUAGGACUUCCCUUACUAACUGGCAAUCCAAAGACCACUUCUUAGACUCGGCUACUGACCCACAUAAUGGAACUAGUGACAAUCAAAUCCGGCUUGUGGCUACAGCUUUGAAUUCUCUAACCACUGAUCCGGGGAUCCUUACUUAUUCGUUUCGAACUACCUCUCUUUGCUGUUAGCUUGUCCCUCUUUUCCUUUUAUUCUCGCUGCUAGCUCUUAAAUGCCUAUGCGCUUACUUAUAGGCUGACUUUAGUGUCUCUUAGG